GGGCUGGUAGCUCAGUCGGUAGAGAAGCGGACUUUUAAUCCGUUGGUCGCGGGUUCGAAUCCCGCCCAGCCCACCA
rnacentral:tRNA from 1 species